GACCUAGCUUACGACCCGCGAGUCUAAGUGAUGGUUACAAAAUCCAAUUUACGUCCAGAGUGGCUAAAUUGCGAUCACAAGUCUAGUUUACGAUUUAUGAGUCCAAAGUGCGACUUAAGAAUCUAAAUCGGACUCUCAUUUACGAAUCUAGCCCCGAGAUUCUAAAUUUACAACUACAAUCAACGAUACCCUCGUUUUCAAUCUAUUUUGUCGCUAUGGC
rnacentral:lncRNA from 1 species